CCGGUGGCCCGGCCCGGCCCGGGAGGAGCCCCUUCAGCCCCAGAAAGCCCAGGAAGGCGCUUUGGCCUCACCUGAGCGUCCCUGCACAGCUUCUCUAUUUAGCUGGGGACUAUUGCAAGAAAGGGGAGGGUCACUGAAUGCAUGAAGCUGCUUAAUGCCGAGCCAAACCAUUGGUCUAUCAAGUGCCAAGUCCCCCAGCACUGAGGAUGGAGUUUUGGUUGGUAGCAAAACAGCCUGGAUUGAAAACUUUGGAGCUACUACAGCAGAAGCGACAAGAGCUUGUGCUCUGAAUCAGAUUGCAUCACCAACUGAUCAGGAAUAGAUAGCCUGACUGACUUUUGUACCUUUGAUAGCAGUUUGUUGGAGAGAAAUCAACAGAUGAAACUUUUCAUGUAAUAGGGAGAAAUGCUAAGCCUGCACAUUGGACUAUGAAGUUACUAAGGGGUGGAUUCUGGGAUAGUUCAGCCAUCCAUAAUAAUAAUACUGAGAAAUGGUAAAUAUAAAGAAGAAUGGUGGAAUGUGUGAAAUGGCAGCUUGUAUGACCCUAUAAUCAUUUGCUAAAGGACCUAACAUCUUUAUCAUACAUACCAGCACAUGUUUUCUUCAUCAUAUGAGCACUGGAUGAAUUUCACCAUCAUCCACCUUGACCAGAGAAUGCUCAAGAGCAUAGCCAACAUUCCUCUGAACCUGUACAUGGUAGGUAAUCACAGAUUAUUAUGUUUAACGGAAGCUUAUCCUUCCUUCGUUCUCCUUCAGGCACCCCUAUAGAUCUACAAAGAAUCAAGAGUUCCUUAUAAGACAGUAUGAAAAUCAUGGAGAUAUUGUGUCAACCUGUAGUGGUACUUAGGAUAUGACAAUUUAUGACAUUUCACAUCUCGAGCUUGGAAAAAUCAAAACAAACCAAGAAGUGCCACAAGCGGAGGAUGUUUGAAUUACAAGUUUGAAACAAGGUCUUAUACGCACUUGGGGUCUCUUUUGUAUGGAACAUACAUUUCCUUUAGGUUUGCUUUUCAGCUAUGCAUGCAUUUUUUCCCCUUCAGAACUCACCAUGCUGCAGAUCAGAGAAGGCCUGCAGUUUGUAAAAAUUGGUAAAGUGUGAUCCCCCCCCCCUACCUGUGCAGGGAAAGUGAAGCAGAAGCAGUGUCCAUUUUGAUUCCUUUGGGUUUUCUGCUUCCCUCCCCACCUUCCCCUGCACAUGCAGGAUCAGGCAAAAUACAUUUUGGAGGUGGCUUUCCAUUACCUACCUCUGUGUCCCAACCCUGGUAUUCUUUGAAGGUCUCCCAUCCAAAUAUUGGCCAGGGUCAGGACUGAGAGUGUGUGGCUGACCCAAAGUCACCCAGCAAACUUCCAUGGUACAAGUAAGGAUUUUGAACCUGGGUUUCCAGGUUCCUAGACAGACAUCUUAACAGCUACACUGGCUCUCCAUAGCUUAGAAUGCCCCCCUCUAAAAUGUGUUCUGACCAUAUUAAAGGGGACGGGAAGACUUUUUUCACAUGGUAUUAAGUACUCAUAUCUCAACUACUUCUUUUGUGUUGCAGGGUUGAACCCUGAGACUGAAAACACGUUCUGAGGCUCUGCCCUGGAGAUUCCUCCCUUUCUGUUAAACUAUGGAUAAGAAUUAAAUGUGUGCUCAAAAGAAAACUGUGUGACAAUGUCGCCCAAUUCAAUAAUCUAUGGAGUAAUUUGGAUCAGAAAUUGCAGAGUUCUAUUUUGACACAGGAUCAAAAAGUAUUAUUUCUAAUAAAC